CCCGGUGUGGUCUCCUCCUUCUCCUCCUCCUCCUAGCAGUGCUCAUGGCCGUGAAGUGAAAACACACGCAGUGACUCCUUCCAAACAGAAAUCCCAAAAGGCGGUCCAGCUCCCGUGAUCUCUCUCUCCGUUUCCCUCCUAGCGGCAAACACACAAAAACACGCAGAGUAACUAAACAAUCCUCGGCUCAACAUGCUAUGUCCACACGUACACGGGUAUUUUUGAAAACGGAGAUUUUCCGUUUUCGUUUUAAAAAAUAAUCCCGUCCACACGUAAAGACAGAAAUGAAGGAAAACGCUGCUAGGAGCAUGCCAAAGCAGCAGGUGGCGCUAUAUUCCUAACCGUGUAGAAAUGUUGGCCAAUCAGAAGUCUAGAAGCCUCGGUGGGAAAUAGUAAACAAAGCUGAGGCAUAGAAGCAGAACCGAGUCGUAUGUGUGGAGGGACAGUAACUGUGUGUGUAUAUGUAAGCAUUUAAACACUGCAGAGAGUACAAUUAACACUAACAGUAUUGUAGAAAUUCAUUUCACCGAAACAACAACGUGGCGCACACUGUGACAUCAGAAAAGGCGCACACCUUUGACGCUGCGUUUUCUCCGUUUUUCUCGUCUACACGUAAAUGCAAAAACGGAGUUUUAGAAAAUAUCCACCCUGGCCGGAGUUUUUAGAAAUCUCCGUUUUCAGUGACCGAAAACGCCGUUUACGUGUGGACGAAAGGUGCAAACGCAUAGAAAAAUCUGCGUUUUCAAAAAUACCCGGGUACGUGUGGACAUAGCCUAACUGCCACAAAAACCGUCCGCGCUGCUCUACCGUGCUUCACACAAUGAUCCAGCGCUGACUGAAGCUCGAUCGCCCUGUUAAGAAGGCAGCCCGGGAGAUGGCGGAUAAUUGGUUACAGCUGGUCGGCUCCGAUCAACAACAGGUGCGGUCAGACUCAGCGCGGGAACACUCUCGGGAAUGCUCGUCACCGCUCGGAGCCGGAUCCAUCACCCGCUUACCUGUCAGCUGUUUUUGAAGCCACAUUUCCGGGAUCACUACGGAGAUCAAUCACAGCGUUUCUCCCACAUCCCGAGACUCCUCGCCCGAGCCUGUACAGCCAGUGUGACAAAUCCACCCUGCGUGCGCGGGUAACCCCUUUCCCUCCGAAUGCGUGUCAGCCUCCUGCCCUGGUUUCCCUCUGUUUAUUCAUCAGUAUUAUCUCAUCCCGUGUAAAUAAGUUUGACACAGUAAAUAAAGAGCACUCCCUGCAUUUUCUGCGCUUCUGUGUAUUCUGCCAUAGAGUCCGUUCACUCAGCAUAACAAUAGAGGUGUAGUUUAUGUCUGUGAACAGUGAACACCCGUGUGCACACCUGUGUGGAUCAGCCCGCUUGUAUUCAAAAGGUUUCCCCAUGUAAUGCUCUGCUAGAGGGUGUAGAGGGCCAUAGCCCCGCCAUAGCUGGACUGGCGAUUGGCGAUUUUUUGUUUUUAUGGGCCGAUGGAUUUUUUUUUUUUUUUUUUUUUUUUUUAGGAAGGGUAUAUAUAAUGAAAGGUGUUGGAUUGGCCAAUUGGUCAUGAUCGACUCUGGGCUGGACCAAUUACAGCCGAGGAGGCCGGAUGCACCCUCCCCCUUGUUUAGCAAUCUUAUAGACGAACUAAAGAAAAUGGAGAACAAAAAAAAGGAAAGGAGGUGUUUAUGAAAAUAUCACUAAAUCUGUCAUUUAUUAAUUUUAAUAUUAACUAGAAAAAUUUGCAUUUCCUGCGAAAAUGCAGUGUGGAUGCUGUAAUGCUGAAGCUGUCUGCUGAAACUAGCAGAAAAAGCUGAAAAGUUGCAGAAUUUGUAAAAACUUUGCAAAAGCAAAGGAACU
ensembl:lncRNA